AACGAACGCUGGCGGCAGGCUUAACACAUGCAAGUCGAGCGAGACCUUCGGGCCUAGCGGCGGACGGGUGAGUAACGCGUGGGAACGUGCCCUUCUCUACGGAAUAGCCCCGGGAAACUGGGAGUAAUACCGUAUACGCCCUUUGGGGGAAAGAUUUAUCGGAGAAGGAUCGGCCCGCGUUGGAUUAGGUAGUUGGUGGGGUAAUGGCCCACCAAGCCGACGAUCCAUAGCUGGUUUGAGAGGAUGAUCAGCCACACUGGGACUGAGACACGGCCCAGACUCCUACGGGAGGCAGCAGUGGGGAAUCUUAGACAAUGGGGGCAACCCUGAUCUAGCCAUGCCGCGUGAGUGAUGAAGGCCUUAGGGUUGUAAAGCUCUUUCAGCUGGGAAGAUAAUGACGGUACCAGCAGAAGAAGCCCCGGCUAACUCCGUG
rnacentral:rRNA from 1 species